GACGAACGCUGGCGGCGUGCUUAACACAUGCAAGUCGAACGGAAAGGCCCUGCUUUUGUGGGGUGCUCGAGUGGCGAACGGGUGAGUAACACGUGAGUAACCUGCCCUUGACUUUGGGAUAACUUCAGGAAACUGGGGCUAAUACCGGAUAGGAGCUCCUGCUGCAUGGUGGGGGUUGGAAAGUUUCGGCGGUUGGGGAUGGACUCGCGGCUUAUCAGCUUGUUGGUGGGGUAGUGGCUUACCAAGGCUUUGACGGGUAGCCGGCCUGAGAGGGUGACCGGCCACAUUGGGACUGAGAUACGGCCCAGACGCCUACGGGAGGCAGCAGUGGGGAAUAUUGCACAAUGGGCGGAAGCCUGAUGCAGCAAUGCCGCGUGCGGGAUGACGGCCUUCGGGUUGUAAACCGCUUUCGCCUGUGACGAAGCGUGAGUGACGGUAAUGGGUAAAGAAGCACCGGCUAACUACGUG
rnacentral:rRNA from 1 species